UGGCGAAGACGGUUGAAAAAUGAGCAAGACGUAUUAUAAGUGUUAAUUAUUAAUUAUUGUUAUAGUAGAAGGUUUUGGAACAGUGGAAGUUUUAUUUUAUGCGCUGCGAUCCCUAUUCUACAUAAAUGACUUCGAUUAUAAAAGUAAGCAAUGGAAUUAUUGUCAGUGGUGUCAAGAUGCCCAUCUUGUGAGCCCGCACGGCAAACGUAGGAAAUCUAUGCCGUUUGAAUAAAAAAUUGAAAUCGAUCUAGCUUUUCAACAAAGUUCAUUUAAAGUAAUCUACAACGAACAAAAGUACGAUAUAAACUGCGAGCCGCCAGCGAAAACAAUUUUAGUUUACUAUUCUUAUAUCGUUCGAUAUUCUUAAAGUAAUAAUUAAAGACCUGUAAUAAAUGUAAGCCAAAAU